ACGGAGGGAGCUAGCGUUGUUCGGAAUUACUGGGCGUAAAGCGCGCGUAGGCGGCUUUGUAAGUCAGAGGUGAAAUCCCGGGGCUCAACCCCGGAACUGCCUUUGAAACUACAUCGCUAGAGUCUUGGAGAGGUGAGUGGAAUUCCGAGUGUAGAGGUGGAAUUCGUAGAUAUUCGGAAGAACACCAGUGGCGAAGGCGACUCACUGGACAAGUACUGACGCUGAGGUGCGAAAGCAUGGGGAGCAAACAGG
rnacentral:rRNA from 1 species